rnacentral:lncRNA from 1 species
CAAGAGUGGAGGAUCAAACCAACAGUGUCAUCCAGCCAUUGAUAAUCACUGAAAGCAUGGUGACCGCACUCAUGUGCUAUGACCCAAACACCGGUGAGAACACAGCCCUGAACGUACCAGAAAAUCGGCCAUGCCAAGAAGGAUAGAGGUUGAGACAGAUUCUGAAUGUAGGUGGAAGCAAUGUAGUAAAGGAUAGAGGCAAUGGUGAGGUCAUAAAAGACAUAGGAGAAGGAGCGGAUAACAGAGCGCUGAAAACAAUGAGGUGGGAUGGCUUUCUUGACCUCACCGAGGCUGAACGGAGGCUUAGAGUACGGAACUCUCUUGUGGGUGUCAGCAUCCGCAUUUUUGCGCACAGGGGGCGCAACCAUUCUUCCACCGGCACCCAUUGUUCCCAAAUCUGCCAAGAACAAAGAGUCAAACAGCUGAAAAUAAUGUAAAAUUACAGAUUUCAGAUCUCAAAUAUUCCUCCCUUUAAGCACUUGAAAGUUAAUAAUACAGAAAAAAAAAGACAGAACAAAAGUUACUUGAAAAAAUAUGACCAACCAAUCAAGAUUUAUAAUAUAUUGCAGUUUGAAGCCUGACACGACAACCACUCAAAAUUAGAACACAAACAUGGACGGACCAAAACAAACGUUGACAGGCAAGUGGAAUAUUCCAAAAAAUCCAACGUUACAACUUGAAGAACAGUAAGAAGCCCACGACAAGAUCGCUUCUCACUGGCAAAGACAGAGACGGCAAGACCAACAAGUUGAUACAAGUUCCGGAGGGCUUAAACUCCUUGAUUAAGUCGUAAUUGGCAAUUUGACUACCACAUUAAACCAAAUCAAACGACCCAAACACAUAAUCCAAAACGACAACUCCAUCUAUUUUUUAGUAUAUAGCUACUGAAAAACGCAUAUUUCGUUUUCUUGUUAUAGGUUUAAUCACUAUUUGAGGCACUUCUUCUGUCUCCUUGCAUCAGUACAACUGAUGCAGAUCGUCUGCCUCCUGUUUGAUGCCUUUCUCGUCCUCUUUUAUUUUAUGCGAUCACGGUUAAACCACGUCAACAUUUUAUAUUAAUUUUUUAUAAAGAUAAUAAGAUAAAAAAUAAUAAGAAUAUAAAAUAUUGACGUAACUUAACUGUAACGGCACGAAUAAGAGAAAAUGAAAAGGACACCUAAAUCGGGCAGACAAUCUGCCUCCCAGUACAACAAGGAAUCACUUGUGGAAAUGCAACGCUCAAAACUUAAAACAACAACAAAGCACUGUUAAUAAAAGGGAAAAUUAGACUAUAUACAAAAGCACCUUUUGACUUGUUCGGUUGUGAUUAGGACCCACAUCUUUAAUUAAUCAAAAUCAUAAGCAUCAAAGCUGCUGCGUCUGAAAGCAAUCCACCGUACUAGAAAAUAUCAAAGUUUACAAUUGACAAGGAAUUCAAACGAAAAAUCUUUGAACAAAAUCAAGUACACGUAACCUGCAGAAAAUGUAUUUGAUUCGCGUCCCAAUAUCGUGGCCUUAAACACGAUUAACUAAAUAAUAAUCUUAAUAUAUGUAUAUAUAAAAAGUGAGAAAGUUUGAAACUUUAAAUUGAAAAAAAGACCAUUACCACAGAAGCUAUUUUCUAAGCAUGAUUCGCUUUACAAUUAGGCUUUGAUUUUGACUAAUUAUACCUCAUUCACCUUGUCAAUUACCAAAACACCCAGAUUGUUUUGUUGCCAACGAAUUUUAAUUUGGUAAAAUCACAUCGUUUUCAGAGUAUUCCCCAAAAAACUGUUGCAAUACAUGGUGUUUCUCGUUGGUUUUUUUCCUAAUUUUCAACCCAAAAGCCGCCCAACUUUUCCAAAUUUACAGCAAAUAAAACUAAAGCUUGUCAGAAAAUGUGCACACAUGCCGGGACUCGGUCGCAACCCAUUUAACGAAUUGUUAAACGCGGCGUUGCAGGCGGAACGAAGACGGAAGGG